rnacentral:lncRNA from 1 species
GGUGGGUUGGAAGAAGGUGCUAUUCAAUUGGACUGAGUUCGGGAGAGCACAGUUAACCUGAAGGGUACCCCUUGCUUAUUUGGACCUGAAACGGCCAGUUGAUGUGCUAGGAUACCUAACAGUUUGAUGAAAGCAUUUGAAGUAGGCCCACAGAAAGGAACCUGUCCCAAAUAGCCUAUCAUGUAAGGUAGCAGAACAG